rnacentral:rRNA from 1 species
UACGUAGGGUGCGAGCGUUAAUCGGAAUUACUGGGCGUAAAGCGUGCGCAGGCGGCUUGCCAAGUCAGAUGUGAAAGCCCCGGGCUUAACCUGGGAAUGGCGUUUGAAACUGGCAGGCUAGAGUUUGGCAGAGGGGGGUGGAAUUCCACGUGUAGCAGUGAAAUGCGUAGAGAUGUGGAGGAACACCGAUGGCGAAGGCAGGUCUCUGGGCUGACACUGACGCUCAUGCACGAAAGCGUGGGGAGCAAACAGG